AAGACCUUGCACUUUUGGAGCGGCCGAUGUCUGAUUAGCUAGUUGGUAAGGUAAAAGCUUACCAAGGCUUCGAUCAGUAGCUGGUCUGAGAGGACGACCAGCCACACUGGGACUGAGACACGGCCCAGACUCCUACGGGAGGCAGCAGUGGGGAAUUUUGGACAAUGGGGGCAACCCUGAUCCAGCCAUGCCGCGUGAGUGAAGAAGGCCUUCGGGUUGUAAAGCUCUUUCGGCCGGAACGAAAUCGAUCGGGCUAAUACCUCGGUUGGAUGACGGUACCGGAAGAAGAAGCACCGGCUAACUACGUGCCAGCAGCCGCGGUAAUACGUAGGGUGCGAGCGUUAAUCGGAAUUACUGGGCGUAAAGCGUGCGCAGGUGGUUUUGUAAGUCAGAUGUGAAAGCCCCGGGCUCAACCUGGGAACU
rnacentral:rRNA from 1 species